UAAGAUGGCCGAGUGUUAAGGCGUUAGGCUGUAGUCCUUUUUACAGGGGUUUAAUUCCCUUUCUUAU
rnacentral:tRNA from 1 species